rnacentral:rRNA from 1 species
GAUGAACGCUGGCGGCGUGCUUAACACAUGCAAGUCGAACGAAACACCUUAUUUGAUUUUCUUCGGAACUGAAGAUUUGGUGAUUGAGUGGCGGACGGGUGAGUAACGCGUGGGUAACCUGCCCUGUACAGGGGGAUAACAGUCAGAAAUGACUGCUAAUACCGCAUAAGACCACAGCACCGCAUGGUGCAGGGGUAAAAACUCCGGUGGUACAGGAUGGACCCGCGUCUGAUUAGCUGGUUGGUGAGGUAACGGCUCACCAAGGCGGCGAUCAGUAGCCGGCUUGAGAGAGUGAACGGCCACAUUGGGACUGAGACACGGCCCAAACUCCUACGGGAGGCAGCAGUGGGGAAUAUUGCACAAUGGGGGAAACCCUGAUGCAGCGACGCCGCGUGAGUGAAGAAGUAUUUCGGUAUGUAAAGCUCUAUCAGCAGGGAAGAAAAUGACGGUACCUGACUAAGAAGCCCCGGCUAACUACGUG